GACGAACGCUGGCGGCGUGCUUAACACAUGCAAGUCGAACGGAAAGGCCCUGCUUUUGUGGGGUGCUCGAGUGGCGAACGGGUGAGUAACACGUGAGUAACCUGCCCUUGACUUUGGGAUAACUUCAGGAAACUGGGGCUAAUACCGGAUAGGAGCUCCUGCUGCAUGGUGGGGGUUGGAAAGUUUCGGCGGUUGGGGAUGGACUCGCGGCGUAUCCGCUUGUUGGUGGGGUAGUGGCUUACCAAGGCUUUGACGGGUAGCCGGCCUGAGAGGGUGACCGGCCACCUUGGGACUGAGAUACGGCCCAGACGCCUACGGGAGGCAGCAGGGGGGAAUAUUGCACAAUGGGCGGAAGCCUGAUGCAGCAACGCCGCGUGCGGGAUGACGGCCUUCGGGUUGUAAACCGCUGUCGCCUGUGACGAAGCGUGAGUGACGGUAAUGGGUAAAGAAGCACCGGCUAACUACGUG
rnacentral:rRNA from 1 species